rnacentral:rRNA from 1 species
GUGAGGAAUAUUGGACAAUGGGCGCAAGCCUGAUCCAGCCAUGCCGCGUGCGGGAAGACGCAUCUAUGGUGUGUAAACUGCUUUUGUACGGGAAGAAACACUCCCUCGUGAGGGAGCUUGACGGUACCGUAAGAAUAAGGAUCGGCUAACUCCGUGCCAGCAGCCGCGGUAAUACGGAGGAUCCAAGCGUUAUCCGGAAUCAUUGGGUUUAAAGGGUCCGUAGGCGGGUUAAUAAGUCAGUGGUGAAAGCACAUCGCUCAACGAUGGAACGGGCAUUGAUACUGUUAGACUUGAAUUACAAGGAAGUAACUAGAAUAUGUAGUGUAGCGGUGAAAUGCUUAGAUAUUACAUGGAAUACCAAUUGCGAAGGCAGGUUACUACUUGUGGAUUGACGCUGAUGGACGAAAGCGUGGGGAGCGAACAGGAUUAGAUACCCGAGUAGUCC